rnacentral:misc_RNA from 1 species
CUGCCGCGGCGCUAUCAUCCAUCCAUUUUCUUCGGCGUUCGUUCCCAGCCACGAGCCCACGAUCGUCCUCCUCGCCUCGGCGCCACCGCCGCAUCCAAUUGCCUCGGCGCUGUUCUCUCAUCCAUCCACCUCGGCAUCGUCACCCAUCCAUCCACCUCGGCGUCUGCUCGUCGCUGCCUAGUUGUGAUCAAGAUGCCCCCUGGAAGGAUGGCUGGGGCAAGGACACGCACGGACAUUGGUGAAGAACCAAUUACUGAGUAUGAAAAGGAGAGGGCUUUAAAGGUAAUGAGGAACAACAAAAUGUUGAGCAGCCUUGGUAUAACUGGAUUUACAUCACUUAUUCGAUCAAGUAAUACAAGGAAGAACUCUAUCGCUCAAGAAGACUUUGAUCCAUUGUAUGAACCUGAUCAUAGUGAGGACAAUGGUCAUCAUGUGUCUGAUAAGGCCAUGCAGGAUGUACCUUACAACUGUGAAAGGAGGAACACCAACAUGUCUACUGGUUCUGGAGGAACAAAAGGAUCCAAGAGAGUGAUAGCACCUAAUGCAGAAGACCAAGUUGGUAGAGUAACUAGGCAAAAGACAAAGGAACAAUCCUCAGUAGAGAAAGAUGUACGUGGUUCGACUACAAAUACAGAAGAGCAGGCAUUGAUAUCUGCCAAUUGUCCUGCACAACAUGAUGAUGAGAUUCAGAUCUGUGAUGAAGGCAAGAAAAUGGGUCAAUUUGCCGUCGACACCAAAAACAAAGAUGUCAGAUUUGCAUGUGCUGAUGUGAUGAGGUGUGUGCAACGACAAAUGAGAUAUAAGCUCAAGAAAGCUUACUUUAAUGGUGUGGCUGCUGACAAAGUGAGAACAACAUCACCAUUGAGUACUAUGACAGAUGAUCAAUGGAUGCAACUAGUGAAUAUGUGGUCUACCCCAAAGCACAAGGACACAAUGGAAUCACUUGUGGGUGGACAUGGAGUAGAAGGGAAAGAAUCCAAGACCCCUCUAGAAGCAGUUGCUUAUGUGUUGGCUUCAUCAAAAUUUCUUCAAAAUAUUGGUCUUGUACCUGCCACAAAGAAAAGCGGCAAUGCAUGGUGGUGA